UUUCACCCAGUGAAUCGGACCCACCGCGACCCUGAAUUGGAUAAAGCUGUGUUCUCUGGAUUGGUGACCUGUUCUGGGUGUUUCCAGCUUUUCACCCAGUGAAUCGGACCCACCGCGACCCUGAAUUGGAUAAAGCUGUGUUCUCUGGAUUGGUGACCUGUUCUGGGUGUUUCCAGCUUUUCACCCAGUGAAUCGGACCCACAGCGACCCUGAAUUGGAU